rnacentral:lncRNA from 1 species
CACACAACUUGUAACUGGUGGCACUGUGAUUUGAUCUAGAUCUCUCUGAUUCUAGAAUUAUGCUCUUAACCAUUCUGCCAUUCUAUCACCAAUAGAUAUGCCUAGAAGAGUGAGGGUAGAGUCAAUAUUACACAAAUAUGGAUUCAUUCGUUUCUCCUAUCAUUUCCGCCUCAAGAGGAGGAACCAGAACAGCAUGAAGAACGUGGCCAUGUGGGAGGUGUAGUCAAUUACAAAGAGAGAGAAAAGCCUUGAAAACUAAAUUCCCUGGGCUGAGGAGGGCUGGUUAUGGAGAUUAAUUUGCCCUUCCUUAUCAGGCUUGGCUCACGCUGGGAUUGCUGCUGGGAGACAAGGCAGCCCUGAUUCCACUUGGAAUGACACAGGCUCAGGGCUGGAAAGAAUUUGAAGAGUGCAGCCGUCAGCCCCUGUCUGAGGAAGGCCCCUUCUCUAUAACAACUGAAGCUGAUGGUUUUCUCCCCUCUGUCUCUGCUGUGACGCCCCCCUGACCCUGAAAUCAUUGCAUCCUUCGGCUCUGCGUUCCAAGGCACCUUCCUCAUCUCAAGCUCGACUUUUCCUUAUUUUGUUCUUUUCUGUUGAUCAACAAAGAAGAAAUGCACUUGUUUUUCCAUAUUAUGAUUAUCUAUCUUUUUUGAAGCAACAAUUACAAAUUACAUACUCUGCUUCCCAGCCUUGCUGCCAUCUCGUAACCUGGUUACUCCUCUUCGUUCUUCAGCUUGAAGUCACACGUCACUUUCUUGGAGAGACCUUCCCACGCAUCCCAGACAAGAUUAACGAAACUGAGUCUACGCAGUUCAACUGACAGUUGCACAGUUGGACUACAUCAAUGACAUCAUCAGAGUGACCUGGGAACAAUUCAUUCAUUUAUUUAUUCUUCAUCUUUGUAGGUCCUGCUUCCCUGAUUCUGCUUCCACUCAUCGCAGCAUGGAUACUGAAAACUUUGGCCAUGGUGUAGACAUGGGCUUUGGGUCAGACUGACUUGGGUUCUAUAGCACCAUGCCACUUACUAGCUGUGUGACCUUGCACUAGUCAAACUCUCCAAUUCUCAGUUUUCUGAGAAAUAUCAAUUCAUACUUGAUAGAUUUUUUUUUGGAAAAGAAGAUUAAAUGAGAAGCAGUAAUAGCAGCAUUAGCACCAGCACCACACGACCACCAGCAGCAUCUGACAAUUGUGUGACCCUUGUUAUGAG